AACGUAGACGGAGCGGACGCGGGUCAAAGUGUAGUAUCUGCUCUUAUUAGGUUAUUACCUGAUACGGGUUUUAUUUGUAUCUAAGACAUUAACCUUACUUUUGCAAGUUCGUGCAGUUCUUGAACCCUGCUUCACUUGCAGUGCGAGCCAGCCCGGUACUGCACUGUUUUUGGAAUCGGCCCAUGUAUG